AUGGCCGGAAGGAAGGGCGGCGACAGGAAGAAGGCGGUGACCCGCUCCGUGAAGGCCGGGCUCCAGUUCCCCGUCGGCCGCAUCGGCCGCUACCUCAAGAAGGGCCGCUACGCCCAGCGCGUCGGCUCCGGCGCCCCCGUCUACCUCGCCGCCGUCCUCGAGUACCUCGCCGCCGAGGUCCUGGAGCUCGCCGGCAACGCGGCCAAGGACAACAAGAAGACCCGCAUCAUCCCGCGCCACCUUCUCCUCGCCGUCCGCAACGACCAGGAGCUCGGCAGGCUGCUCGCCGGCGUGACCAUCGCCCACGGCGGCGUGAUCCCCAACAUCAACUCUGUGCUGCUCCCCAAGAAGUCCCCCGCCGCCGCCGAGAAGGAGGCCAAGUCGCCCAAGAAGAAGACGGCCACCAAGUCCCCCAAGAAGAAGGUCGCCGCCAAGGAGUAG
rnacentral:rRNA from 1 species